GGGGUGGGGCUGCUGACAUAUUACUGUGGCUCUUUGGAAAUGCACAUUAGUAAGUUCUGACUCCUUCUCAGGCUCAGGUUGACCACCCCUGCUCUAGAAUCUUUACCAAGGCUCCUUACAAGCUGUGCAAGUAUAUGCAGUAUUAGCAACAUCCUCAUUACAGAAUAUAGAUAUAUAAUGAAAUAUCCUGCCAUUUUUAUUUCUAUUUUGUAUUAGGAGAGCUACUGUAUAGCUCUGGUUUUUCAACAGAAAAAAAAAGUUAAAAAAAAAGUGUGAGUAUGUGUAAUCUCAAUGGAAUCUGCUGUCAGCAGAUUCAUCUGAACAAAGGUGGGCAGUAAUAGGAGGAAAAGCAGAAUCAAAGAAUGAGAAAGUAAUUUUAAAAUUACUGUACAAAACUGUAUAACAAUGCUCAGGCUAUGGUGAAGUUGCUGUUUAUGUGAUAGAACCACCAGUGUAAUCUCUACCAUCCAAUUGGAUUUAGAAUCCUGAUAACAUUUAACCAGGAGAAAGAUAAUUUCAGGGACACAUCCAUAGUAUUCUUUAAAAGACUAAUUUUAUGGAUAAUCAUUGGCUGAUGGACUAAACUAGCACGUUCUGAGUUAAUCAAAAUGCUGCUUCUCUCUGAGCAACAAUCACUCUAGUGUUCCAACAUCCAUCUGACAAAAUGAUAUCAACGUCACAUGUUUGGGAUGAUAAAAAUAAACUACUGUAAUUGCAAUAGAAAUCUGUCACCGGAUCAUCCUCCCACUUUAAAAAUACAGUAAACAUCUUGGCUUUGCCUCAACAUUUAUUUUUGACAAAUGUAUAAGAUCUCCUGUGACACCAGCUAGUGCCAGUCGUCUGUCCCAUUUACAGUAAUAAUGGGAACCAGUUGUUUAUCCGCUUCAUGUUUUGCUUAUCUGUCACUUAGCCAGAUUUUAAGCAUUCAGUUUAGUGCACAGAAAGGAUGAAUGUCUUUGAUCAAUAAUUUGCAUAUUGUAGUUAGUUAGGCUAUGGGCAUGUGUAAUUCAGCAGGAUGAGAUAUGCACUUAAUGAAUUAGUGUACAUUACAUUCUGUAUGUAGAAAUAUUCAAGUCACAUGUUUUUCAAAUGUACUUUCAGCUCAACCUUUCUGAAUUUUAGGUAGAUCUGGUUUAACAUGAGUAAAGCAUAGUUAGAAUUCUUUAGGAAUGGAUGAAAGAAUGAUUCACAAACUCCCUACACGUGACAAAAAGUACAUAAUCUAAUUGAUUGUCAUCUGAUUUGUCACCUCUGCAAAUCUGUAGCAAUUUACAAGUCACCCCUCUUGCCAAAACAAAAACAGUGCAUCUUUAUGCUACAGAAGGUAUUUAUUAGUGUAAAAGAAAGUAUUAAAUAUUCAGUCAAAGCAGGUUAAAGUGUCCCAUAUUUGCUAACAGAAUUUAGUGUGUUCAUAGAUCAUAUAGAAAGCACCAAAAACAAAUUGGAAUUCCCCUAACUCAAUAAUAUUUCAGUGCCAGUGACUAAAGUUUCAGAUCUUUGUUUUUUGUCACGUGUUAAUAAUACUCCCAUCUAAAUCCCAGUGAAAAAAAUGUUCAUGUGUGCUGAAGAUAUCUCUCUAUAAGCACACCAAUUAGAACUCUUCAGAAAGCUUGCUUUUAACAUCGGCUACGUAUAGUGUUCUCAUAUUACAUCCUGCUGUAAAUUUCACCUAAGAAGGUGAGCUAUUUGGACAAUAACAGAUUCCCUGAAGGAACAUUGUCUGAUCAUAAAUAUUAAUGAUAAUGAACUUGAAAAGGCCAUCUUAAUAAAAUGCAAUUAGACACUAUUACUUCCAAGAGUUAUGCAUAUGAUUUAAAUGUUACAUAGCAUUUUCAGUAAAUUUAGGCUUUCUAAUUCAGGGACAAGUCUUGCCUCUAUUAUGUGCAUCAGUAGUCCCUAACAGCAAAUAGAGCUGCUGGACUGGCCCAUAGAAAACAACAGUCUAUAAUAUACUGGUGGUUGCCCUUUUAUUACGUUCUAUUUACUAGAGAUUAUACUAGAGAUUAGUAUUACCAAAAAAAUCAAAUAAUUUUUUGAAUCUCGGGCAGUCAAAUUAGAGGAGUCAACAGUAUUACAAUAUUUUUCCCCUUUUCGUGGACAAAUUAAUAUCGGUUACUAGAGAGAUUUAGGUCACAACAACAAGGCUCAGUUGUAUGACUUUGCAGUGGCCUUGGGAGCAAGGGUGACAAAUACUCUUGAGAGAUUGCAUUGGGUGUUUCACACUUCACUUUUGAUUAUUUGGAGCCUUGCUUGAAUCAUACCAUGGAUAUUUUUCAAAGAAAAUCAGCAUUUGGCCUGAUUCACCUUUCAUUUGCAUUGGUUCUGCACCAUUGAUUUCAAUAGAAUUAUUCUCAAUUUACUAGUGGGGAGGGAGGCCACUCUGCCUCUUGUAUUGGGCGGUAACCCUCAGGUUUGGGUCGCACUGGCGGGGCUGAGUUGUAAGUAGUCUAUAGGUCUGGGCCCAUCUAACAGAGACAAACAAUAAUAGUCAGGUGCUCAUGUUCCUACCCUUGGGCAGGGCAGAGCACUGUGGAGCCUUUAGCUCGCAGCCCCUCAGCUUGAUUAUCACUACAAAAGUUUUUUUCUCCUGCUGAUAAUAGCUCAUCUUAAUUAAUUAGCCUCUUACAAUUUGUAUGCCAAAUUCCACCUUCUCUGUAUAUGUGUGUAUAUAUCUUCUUACUG